GACGAACGCUGGCGGCGUGCUUAACACAUGCAAGUCGAACGGAAAGGCCAUGCUUUUGUGGGGUGCUCGAGUGGCGAACGGGUGAGUAACACGUGAGUAAACUCCACUUGACUUUGGGAUAACAUCAGGAAACUGGGGCUCAUAUCGCAUAUGAGCUCCUGCUGCAUGGUGGGGGUUGGUAAGUUUCGGCGGUUGUGGAUGGACUCGAGGCUUAUCCGCUUGUUUGUCGGGUAGUGGCUUACCAAGGCUUUGAAGGGUAGCCGGCCUGAGAGGGGGGCCAGCCACAUGGGGACUGAGGGAGGGACCAGAAGCCUACGGGAGGCAGCAGUGGGGAAUAUGGCGCAGUGGGCGGAAGCCUGAUGCAGCAACGCCGGGAGCGUGAUGACGUCCUACGAGGGGUAAACCACUGUCGACGGUAACGAAGCGUUAGUGACGGUAAUUAGUAAAGAAGCACCGGCUAACUACGUG
rnacentral:rRNA from 1 species